AGUGAACGCUGGCGGUAGGCCUAACACAUGCAAGUCGAACGGCAGCACAGUAAGAGCUUGCUCUUACGGGUGGCGAGUGGCGGACGGGUGAGGAAUACAUCGGAAUCUACUUUUUCGUGGGGGAUAACGUAGGGAAACUUACGCUAAUGCCGCAUACGACCUACGGGUGAAAGCAGGGGAUCUUCGGACCUUGCGCGAUUGAAUGAGCCGAUGUCGGAUUAGCUAGUUGGCGGGGUAAAGGCCCGCCAAGGCGACGAUCCGUAGCUGGUCUGAGAGGAUGAUCAGCCACACUGGAACUGAGACACGGUCCAGACUCCUACGGGAGGCAGCAGUGGGGAAUAUUGGACAAUGGGCGCAAGCCUGAUCCAGCCAUACCGCGUGGGUGAAGAAGGCCUUCGGGUUGUAAAGCCCUUUUGUUGGGAAAGAAAAGCAGCAGGUUAAUACCCCGCUGUUCUGACGGUACCCAAAGAAUAAGCACCGGCUAACUUCGUG
rnacentral:rRNA from 1 species